rnacentral:rRNA from 1 species
UCUGGUUGAUCCUGCCAGUAGUGAUAUGCUUGUUUCAAAGAUUAAGCCAUGCAUGUCUAAGUAUAAGCGAACUUAUACAGUGAAACUGCGGAUGGCUCAUUAAAACAGUUUGAAUUUAUUUGAUGAAUGUAUGAGAAUACUACUUGGAUAACCGUAGUAAUUCUAGAGCUAAUACAUGCAACGACGCCCGACCGUUUCACUACGGAAGGGCUGUAUUUAUUGGAUACCAAAACCAUCCUUCCCUCGGGAAGUUUUGUUUGAUGAUUCACAAUAACUGAUCGGAUCGCCACUGUGGUGGCGACAGGUCAUUCAACAUUCUGCCCUAUCAGCUUUCGAUGGUUGUGUAGUGGACAACCAUGGCCAUAACGGGUAACGGAGAAUCAGGGUUCGAUUCCGGAGAAGGAGCUUGAGAAUUGGUUACUACAUCUAAGGAAGGCAGCAGGCGCGCAAAUUACCCAAUCCCGAUUCGGGGAGGUAGUGACAAAAAAUAACAAUACCGGGCCUUUUUGGGCUUGGUAAUUGGAAUGAGGGAGAGUUAAACGGACCAUCGAGUAUCCAUUGGAGGGCAAGUCUGGUGCCAGCAGCUGCGGUAAUACCAGCUCCAAUAGCGUAUAUUAAAGUUGUUGCAGUUAAAAAGCUCGUAGUUGGACUUGUGUGCGCUGUCCGCGGGUGGCCUGCGCCCAAAAGGGCGUUUCGGUUCGGCCCCGGUGGCGCCUUGAAAUCUGCAGCUGGGGGGACGUUGGCCUUAACUGGUCGGCGACCGCACGCCGGCUGCUCGGUUACUGUGAGAAAAUUAGAGUGUUCAAGGCAGGCAUUGGGUGCAAUUGAAUACAUUAGCAUGGAAUAAUAAAAUAUGGCUCCUGCCGUAUUUUGUUGGUUUUGACUGGUGGGAGUAAUGAUUGAUAGGGACGGUUGGGGGUGCUAGUAUUGAGCGGCCAGAGGUGAAAUUCAUGGAUUCGCUCAAGACUAACUUAUGCGAAAGCAUUCACCAAGGACGUCCUCUUUAAUCAAGAACGAAAGUUGGGGGAUCGAAGACGAUCAGAUACCGUCGUAGUCUCAACCAUAAACUAUGUCGACUUGGGAUCGGCGGUAGUUUUUUCAUUAAGACACUGUCGGGACCACGGGAGAAAUCAAAGUGUCUGGACUCUGGGGGAAGUAUGGUCGCAAGGCUGAAACUUGAAGGAAUUGACGGAAGGGCACCACCAGGAGUGGAGCCUGCGGC